AGCAGCCGCGGUAAUUCCAGCUCCAAUAGCGUAUAUUGAAGUUGUUGCAGUUAAAAAGCUCGUAGUUGAAUUUCGGGAUCUGUCCGUUGGUCGGGCCUCACGGUCCGCACUGAUGCGAUGGAUUCCUACCUUCUGAAUAACCGGUAUGCCAUUAAUUUGAUGUGCCGGGGAAGCAGAACCAUUACCUUGAAAAAAUUAGAGUGCUCAAAGCAGGCUUGUGCCUGAAUACAUUAGCAUGGAAUAAUAAAAUAGGACGGCAUGGUUCUAUUUUGUUGGUUUCUAGGAUCACCGUAAUGAUUAAUAGGGAUAGUUGGGGGCAUUAGUAUUCAAUUGUCAGAGGUGAAAUUCUUGGAUUUAUUGAAGACUAACUUCUGCGAAAGCAUUUGCCAAGGAUGUUUUCAUUAAUCAAGAACGAAAGUUAGGGGAUCGAAGACGAUCAGAUACCGUCGUAGUCUUAACCAUAAACUAUGCCGACUAGGGAUCGGACGAUGUUAAUUUUAUAAUGACUCGUUCGGCGCCUUACG
rnacentral:rRNA from 1 species